rnacentral:misc_RNA from 1 species
UCUUGUGUUGGUUGCNUAAUGUUAUGGAAAUUGACCACAAUUGAGGCCCAAUUUUCGCCUCCCACCAAUAUGUGGUGUUAGGUUGAUGUGGAAGUACUGCCCAUUGUCCAUGAAUGCUACGCCCUUUCGCGUUGCAAUCAUGGUCCAUGAGUUGCUACUAGUUCCCGCGGAUGCAGAACCUUUGUAGGGUGCACAGCAUAUUUUUGUUGCUUGCCCACAAAGCGUUCGUGGCUCGAUGUGUACGACGGUUGUGCCCGCCUCUAUCUCGUCUUUAACUCGUUUGGACGGGGCCUAUGCGGUGCCGGCGUCACGAAGGAAUGCUACCUGGUUGAUCCUGCCAGUAGUCAUAUGCUUGUCUCAA